AUGACUUUUCAUCUAGGUAGUCAUUGAGUGGAAGGAACGUGAACUGACGAGUCGACAACAGGCUACUACGAUGAACAACGCAAUCAAGCUGUUGAUCUUGGCUUUUGCUGUCGCCAUGCUGAUCACAACUGGUGACGCUCUGACAUGCACAGGCUGUUAUCCCGUUGUUGGACCGUGUACUCCACGCCCCGUAACAUGUGCAGCAGGCCAAGUCUGCAAAAUCGUACCAUGUGAUGUCUUCGGAGGCCAGCGCUGUGCGGAUCCGUGAAUGUGACGACAGACAAACCCCCAAUGCAAAAUGUCCCAAAAUGGACUUCUGCGACAUGGAAGGAUUUGUGGGGGUUGAAGAUCCAACCUAUCGUCUUGGUAGUUGAGUUGAGAAGCAUUAAAAAAUGUUGAAAAAAAUAAAUAAAAAGUGAUCAUCAAAUGAU